AGCUCCAAGAGUGUAUGCUAAUGUUGUUGCAGUUGAAAAGCUCGUAGUCGAUUUUUUCUUCUCCAGAUAAUUACUAAGAAAGUUUUCCCUCUCGGGAGGGCUUUCUUAAUUCUUGAGAAAGAGAUAUUAAUUUUAUUUUCUUUUCUUUUUUGAUUUUUCCCUUGAUUGGGAGUCAAUUUAGAAAUUUAACCAAUAAGAAAAUGAAUUUUACUGUGAAAAAAAGAAAAAGCUUAAAUUUCCAGUACUUUUUUACAACAAAAGUAGCUCAGAAUACAUUAGCAUGGGAUAAAAAAGAUUUGAAAAUUUUUUUAUUUGAAUUGUAUUUGCUUGUUUCAGAUAAAGAUUCUCCAAUAAAAUUUUCAAAGGGAAUAGAGUUGUACGAUGCCAUUUGUAUUGUGGGGAGACAGGUGAAAUUGGUUGACCCUCGCAAGACAAACUGAAGCGCAGGCGUUUGGCAAGUUCAAGCUCA
rnacentral:rRNA from 1 species